UCCCGCAACGAGCGCAACCCUGAAGCGUAGUAGCCAUCAUUAAGUUGGGCACUCUAAGUUGACUGCCGGUGACAAACCGUGAGGAAGGUGGGGAUGACGUCAAAUCAUCAUGCCCCGUAUGAUUUGGGCUACACACGUGCUACAAUUGACAAUACAAAGGGCAGCGAAACCGCGAGUUCAAGCAAAUCCCAUAAAGUUGUUCUCAGUUCGGAUUGUAGUCUGCAACUCGACUAUAUGAAGCUGGAAUCGCUAGUAAUCGUAGAUCAGCAUGCUACGGUGAAUACGUUCCCGGGUCUUGUACACACCGCCCGUCACACCACGAGAGUUUGUAACACCCGAAGCCGGUGGAGUAACCAUUUGGAGCUAGCCGUCGAAGGUGGGACAAAUGAUUGGGGUGAAGUCGUAACAAGGUAGCCGUAUCGGAAGGUGCGGCUGGAUCACCUCCUUUCUAAGGA
rnacentral:rRNA from 1 species